AGGACAAGGACCUGACCAUGCACAGCACACAGUUUGUACGUCUAACAGCUGUUAAUGGACUGGCAAUCCCAGUGGUGGGGAGUCUCGAAACAGACAUAGAGUAUAUGGGCCAGACACUGCCAGGAAAAUGCAUCUUCAUCCUGAAAGACAAAGGCUCAAAAGGGAGCCAUAUAGGAGAAGGACUCCCAGGGAUUCUAGGGAUGAACAUCAUUAGUGAGCUGAAGGAGCUACUCUUACCAGGAGAAGGAACCAGGAGGAUGAACUGUCACGAGCGCUCUAUGAAGAAUGCUGUGCUGAGUAGAGUACUGGCUCGAGAGGAGAGGCAGAGUCUUUCCCUGGGCCCCACAAGGCAUAUGGGAAAUGGUAAAGUGGGCAGAGAACGGAAGACCAUUAUUCCUCCUUGGAGAGGGAAGAUCCUUGACGAACACAGCUGUGUACCAGGAAAUGAGCUGCAGGUGACGAGGGAGAAGGGAGGACGAGUUACCUUUCUUCAAGAAAGAUGUGAUGGGAGACUGCCCGUUCCAGUUCAAGCGGCACGCCAAGGGCUGAUUCCUGCACAUGUGGCUAACAUAAGGGCGUUGCCAGAGAAGCAUCAAGAAGUCUUUUCUAAGGAUGAGGUGACCAAUUAUGAUGACCGGGUCAAAGGUCACCAUGACAGGCUGACGACAGCCUGGAAAGUUGCUCUCAGUACAACUAAAGACAUAGCCCAAAGUAGGAAAAGGACUUAUGAUAGCAAGUCCAGUGGGGCUCUCAUCAGAUCUGGUGACCGUGUACUAGUUCGUAACCAUAGACACCGGGGGCGUAAUAAAAUACAGGACAAAUGGGAGUCAAAUCCCCCCACUGUGGUCACCCACAACAAUCCCAAACUGCCAGUGUACGCUAACCAGCCUGAACGAGGAGGUCCUGGGAUAGUAGAACAUAGGGACCAGUUGAAACAUUGCACUCUUAGUCCAGACAGGGACCAUAGGACGUGUAGAUCAGUACACCCCGAGGAGGCUGAAACCAAUUGGGAAAUGGUUCUAGUCCCACAAACCGAAUAUAGAGUGGGGCAAACCCAAACCCUAACGAGAAUGGCCAGAUCCUUCAAACUGACCCAGUAUUACCCAAGGAUAGGAAAAUAGAAAAUAUGGGUAAUGAACCGCCAGUCUUAAGAAGGUCCCAGAGGGCUAAUAAGGGUGUACUUCCUGUUUGAACUUAAAGAUAAUUAUGUUAUUGGUUCUAUGUAGUGUUUUAAUGACUAUUGUUAUGUAUGGUAUUAAGAAGUAAAUGUGGAAUGUUAAAUAUGUUAAAUGUUCUUUUGAUAAUUGCUAAUGGGUUGUUGAUAUACAAUGACAUGGGUUAUGUUGUUACCAUGGGGCCCGGAUGUACCAGUGUAAAUAUUGUGGAUGUGGCAGUAUUUUAGCAAGGGGGAAUGUAAGGGGACUGUUGCCCCCUUACUAACAUUCAGUGGGGGUGUUUUGGUUGCUAGCUCCCAGCACUAAAAGGGGGGGGGUCGAUGGCAAAU
rnacentral:lncRNA from 1 species